GUGGCAAUAGCUCAAUGGUAGAGCUCCCGAUUCGUACGCGGGAAGACCUGGAUUCAAUUCCUGGCUGCUUUC
rfam:Toxocara canis scaffold606, whole genome shotgun sequence.